GAGCGGAGCGCGGCCUUCCAGCCGUGCCUGCUGAGCCAGGGGGGAGGAGGGGCCGCUUGUCUUCUUUUCACCGCUUUGCUGACAAGCGCAGCGACUCCGGGCUGCGCUCUUAGCGCGGCUCCUCCUGAGCCGCCGGGAAUUGGAAACGCGGAACGGAGAUGUGAGGCCGUAAGGAACAGGUGGGACGCACAACAGCAGCUCGGGAAACAACAACAAACAGAUUAUGUCUGAAGGCUGCACACUCUGUACCAAAGGCACGUUACGGGCAACGAGACCGACCUGGAAGGGGCUGCUUACAUA